UACGUAGGGGGCAAGCGUUGUCCGGAUUUAUUGGGCGUAAAGAGCGUGUAGGCGGCUAGAUAGGUCCGUUGUGAAAACUCGAGGCUCAACCUCGAGACGCCGAUGGAAACCAUCCAGCUAGAGUCCGGAAGAGGAGAGUGGAAUUUGUGGUGUAGCGGUGAAAUGCGCAGAUAUCACAAAGAACACCCGUGGCUAAGGCGGCUCUCUAGUACGGUACUGACGCUGAGACGCGAAAGCGUGGGGAG
rnacentral:rRNA from 1 species